UUUUUUCCCAGUAGUCUAACAGAAGUGGUCUCCAUGUUGUGAUGACGGACUACUCUUCAUCUCCCUGUGUGUAUAAAUACAGCGCAGUGAGAAACCAGACUUUUUAGCUGUGGAGCCCUGAAACACUGGGAGUGUAGCCUGUAUCUCUUGUGGAAACAGUGAUUCAAAGGACAGCAAAGGAAAAACUGGACAUUACUGAAGAAGGCAGAUGAGAUUAAAAAAUGUCUAGUCAUCGAAGCAUUGAUUAGAGAGGCAACAAGGAGGGAGCAGCUUUUCAUUUUGUCUCAUGGACUAUGCUGGAAGGAACAGUAGCUUCAGACCCUAAAAUCUUCUGACUACCUGUAGAAAGAAUUACAGCACAACAUCAAGAGAAGUUGAGAACUAAGAUUACCCUAUAACAAUGUUUUUGUUCCAAAGAAAU
rnacentral:lncRNA from 1 species